UUCGUAUUGAAAGGUUGUGUGCGAACAAAUUUUUUCUGACAUUAAACCUAUGAACACUAAAAUGCACCAAGUAGGUGCAUCAUCAGGAACGUAUUAAAAGCCGUUCUAUCGGAAAUUAAAAAAGGUAUUAUUGGGUGUAAAAGUAGAAAACCG